GACGAACGCUGGCGGCGUGCUUAACACAUGCAAGUCGAACGAAGAGCGAUGGAAGCUUGCUUCUAUCAAUCUUAGUGGCGAACGGGUGAGUAACGCGUAAUCAACCUGCCCUUCAGAGGGGGACAACAGUUGGAAACGACUGCUAAUACCGCAUACGAUCUAAACUCGGCAUCGAGGAUAGAUGAAAGGUGGCCUCUACAUGUAAGCUAUCACUGAAGGAGGGGAUUGCGUCUGAUUAGCUAGUUGGAGGGGUAACGGCCCACCAAGGCGAUGAUCAGUAGCCGGUCUGAGAGGAUGAACGGCCACAUUGGGACUGAGACACGGCCCAGACUCCUACGGGAGGCAGCAGUGGGGAAUCUUCCGCAAUGGACGAAAGUCUGACGGAGCAACGCCGCGUGAGUGAUGACGGCCUUCGGGUUGUAAAGCUCUGUUAAUCGGGACGAAAGGCCUUCUUGCGAACAGUUAGAAGGAUUGACGGUACCGGAAUAGAAAGCC
rnacentral:rRNA from 1 species